AGGUUGUAUUAGUAACCUCCAUCUUCAUGUUUUAUAACAUCACUUUUGGAUAUUACAUUGUUUCACUUUCAAGUAUACAUGUGUUUUAUAGCUUCUUUAUUUUUAGAGACUCAAAAUUGGCAUUCAUUUUAAAUUUUCCAUACGUUAGGUUGAGAUACUGUUAUCUUGGCUCUAAGAUUAUUGAAUUCAUUGGCAUACAAUUUCCUUGAUUUAAGAAAGUACAAAUUUUCUGUAGCUUAAAUGUUUAUUUAGGGCUGUUUUUAUCUAUGUCUGUUACAUCUUCUUGGGGCCUUAUUUCUACUUCUACCAAAUUUUCCAUUGGUAUAUCCAAUAGUCAAUAUACCACAUAUAUAAAAUUGUCACAUUUCUCUACUUUUCAUGUUGUAUUUGAUUUUGUUUACUGUAGCCUGAGUAAAUAGUCAAUAAUCUAAUUUGUGCCAAUUCUAGUGCAGGAAACUUAAGGCUACCAUGAUGUUCUUUAUCAUUGUUAGGGCAUCAACUCUUCAAUUUCUGGAAGUUGUCCAAACAAAUUUUAUAUUCACAGUACCUGAGAACAAACUAGGGUAGUUCCAUCAGUCUCAUUAGCUGGGGAGUUCAUUUUUAGCCUUAUAUACAUACAUGGAUCUUGAAAUUAACCAUUUACUUUGGAAAUUUAGGUAAAUUUUUUUGAACCUUGAAUUCACUGAACUCACUCUUUUUCACAGAUAUUCUAGUCUAGGCUAAUCCCAGCCCUGUGACCAUUGUCUGAUGAUUUAAAUUUUUAUUGUGAGAUCACCGUCACACCCAACAUUCUAUAAGUUCUCCUGGAAACAUUCAGGUAUACACUGUCUCAUAGCCAUCUUAGCCAAGCAUAAUCAUUCUCUCUUCUCAAGCUGUCUUUCCUUAUUGCCUCCUUGUUCUUCCAAGAACACAGCAAAAGAAUAAUUCCACAGCUAUGUUUCUACAUUGAUUGGGACUUGGAGUAAGAAGAAAAGUGGAGGGCUUCAGGAAGCUACAUGCUAUGUCCUGGGCAAGAAUGGACACUCCAAAUCAUGACACCGCCGGAAGAUGGGAGGGCACCCUGUGUGAGUUGGUCAACAGCCUUCCAGGUGAUGGGUGUUAAGUGCCAGCCCUUUGUGGAAUGUGUAGCCGCAGCUUACCCAGCUUCAAGUUUUGUGGGGAGUAAGUCUGCCCUGGAAGCCCUUUAGGCCACAGGGCUGGAUGUCCAUGGAAGGCAUUCACGUAAGGUUCCUGCUCAGACCCACCCGGUUACAGGUCUGGUGGGGAGCAAGGGCAAGGGGUGCAGGGCAGGAGGGGGCAGCCGUGUUGGCCAGCAUGUAUUAUGACAUCACAGUGGCAGUUUUAUUAUGUCACAAUGGAAGCUAAUGGCAUCACAAUGAUGGUUUAUGUCAUCUGUAGUGAUGAUAACAACACAAUGGCUAGCUAAUCACAAUUGUUUUAUCACUUCAACAUUGAGUAUGAUAGUUCAAUAUGGAUUUAUGACAACAUGGUGGUAUAACAUGAUUAGUCAAAACUUUUUAGGACUUCAAAAUUAAUUAUGGCAAUGUAAUGGUUGUUUAAUGACAAAAAUGGUGCAUUUAUAGCAUCAGGAUUUGGGUAUAUGACAAUUAUUUUCAUAACCUCACAAUUAUUACAACACUGUGAUGAUUUAUGAUAUCACAACAUUCAUGGCAUCACAGUGUUCAUGAUAUCACAAUGGUAGUUUAUGAAAUUACAUUUGAUCAUGACACUUCAUAAUUGAUUAUGACAUCAGAGCAGUUGGUUUAUAAGUUACACUGGCUUUGUAUGGAAUAUGAUAUCACAUAUAAUAGUCUAUGAAAUAACAAUAGUGGUUAUGACAUCACAAUUCAUUAGUAUUUCAAAAUGGUAGGUUUACCUCACAAUGGUUCAGAAUUAUUUAUGACUCACAGUUAUAGGUUUAUGAUAUAAUAAUGGUGGCUUAUAAUGUUUGAGUUGAUUAUGACAUGAUUUUUGUUACAUCACAAUUGAUUAUGACAAAAUAAUGGUAGCUUUGUAACAUGACCAUAGAUUUUUAUGUAAAAUACCGGUUUAUGACAUCAUAAUAGAUUUUAUAUCACAAUUAAUUAUAAUGGUAUUUUAUGACAGUUCAAUUGAUUAUGAUGUCAUAAAAUUCAACUUCUGAUAUUACAAUUGUUUUAUAACUUCACAGUUGAUUGUGACAUUAAAUGGUAGGUUUAGUACAUCACAAUGGUGGAUUAUUAAUUAUAACAUUACAAGGUUUACAAAAUUACAAUUAAUUGUGACACAACAAUGGUAGCUUUAUAACAGCAUGAUGGUUUUUAUGGUUUCUGUGACAUCACAAUUUAUGAUAACAUCAUAAUGAUAUCCUAUGACAUAACAAUUGAUAAUGAAUUUGUCCCAGUUGAUUAAGAAAUCAUGAGGUUUUUUUCAACAAUCACAAUUGAUUAUAACAAUGGUAACUUUAUGACAUCACAAUAUUUUCACUUCAAAAUUCAUUUUAUGACAUCAGAAUUGAGUAUAAUAUUAAAAUAAUGUCUAUGCUAGUUUACAUAUGACAUCACAGUAGUUGGUUUAUGACAUCAUAAUGGUGGUUCUAUGGUCAUUUUAUGACAUCACAAUUGACUAUGGAAACUCAAUGGUUGGUUUUUGAUAUCACACUAGAAGGCUUAAAACAUCACAAUGGCUUUUUACAUCAAAAUGGUGGCUUAUGCCGGCGCCGCAGCUCACUAGGCUAAUCCUCCGCCUAGCGGCGCCGGCACACCGGGUUCUAGUCCCGGUUGGGGUGCCGGAUUCUGUCCCGGUUGCCCCUCUUCCAGGCCAGCUCUCUGCUGUGGCCAGGGAGUGCAGUGGAGGAUGGCCCAAGUGCUUGGGCCCUGCACCCCAUGGGAGACCAGUAGAAGCACCUGGCUCCUGGCUCCUGCCAUCGGAUCAGCGCGGUGCGCCGGCAGCAGUGCGCCGGCUGCGGCGGCCAUUGGAGGGUGAACCAACGGCAAAAGGAAGACCUUUCUCUCUGUCUCUCUCACUGUCCACUCUGCCUGUCAAAAAAAAAAAUGGUGGCUUAUGACAUCAUGAUUGUGACAUUACAAUGGUAGGUUUAUGAAAUCAGAGUGGAUUAUGGUUGGGUUAUGAUAUAACAUUGUGGGGUUACAGCAUCACAAUAUGGAUUUAUGACAUCACGAUGGUUUUUGCGAAUCAUAAUAUAUGAUAUUGACCUCAUAUCACAAAAUUUAUAUUGACCUCACUUGGGUGUUUAAUACAUCACAAUUGAUUAUGACAUUACAGUAAUUUAUGCUCGUAAUGCCUUCAAAAUAGCUACUCAUUUUAAAUUCAUUUUGUGAUACUACAAUUAGGAUAUCAGAACAGUAUGUCUGAUGGCACAAUGAUAGGUGUAUGAUGUCACAAUAGAUUUAAAACUUUACAAUUAAUCAUGACAUCACAACAGUUGGAUUAUGACAUCACAGUUGUUUGUGUAUGGCAUCAAAUAUGGCUUUAUGAAAUCACAGUGGCUUUAUGAGAUCACAAUUUAAAUCAUAAUGGUGAUUUAUGACAUCACUAUCCAUUGGAACAUUGCCAUGAUGGUUUAUGAUAAGACAGUGGUAGCAUAUGGCAUUACAAUCGAUUAUGACAUCACAAUGUUAUGUGUAUGAAGCCAGAAGUUUUGAUGGCUUCACAAUUUACUGUAACAUAAAUCGUAGGUUUCUGAUAGUACAGUGUUUUUGCACAUUAUCAAAGUGUCAUAAUGUACAUUAUUGCUUUUUGACAUCACAAGUUUUUAAACUUAACUGAUUAUGGCAUCACAAUUGGAUUAUGAUGUCAAAAUGUUUUAUAAUUUCAUAAAUGGUAUAUUACUGUUAGGUUUAUGAUGUGACAAUGGUGGUUUACCACAUCAGGACUGAUUAUGUCACAAAGAUUUUUAUAUUACAAUUGAUUACAUAACAGUUGUAGCUUUAUGACGUUGCAAUGGAUUUUUAUGACCCUGCACUAGAUUUUUGACUUAUUAUUUUUAUGAUUGCUCAAUUCAUUUUAAAAUCAUAAUGCUGGUUCAUGAAAUCACAAUUGAUUAAGCAAUGGUAUUAUGACAUCAAAUGCACUAUGACAUGAUGAUGGUAAUUUAUUACUUGAUAAUAUCACAAUAUGUAUAUCUAUGCAUCACAAUUUUAAUAAGUUUAUGAUUGUUGCAUCAAAAUCGUACAUAUAUAACAGAAAUAGUAGACUGUGUGGCUUAAAUACUGGCUGUGAAAAUUAAAUAUGAUAUCACAAUCAUAGAUUUAUGACAUCAAAAAUUUGGCAUAUGACAUCGCAAUUGAAUUAUUGUGAUGAAUUAUUGAAGUCACAAUUAUGACAUAAUAAUGCUUUAUGACACCCCAGUUUAUUAUUACAUCACAAUGGUAGAUUUAUGAUUUCACAAUGGUUUUUAUGAUAUAAUUGAUUAUGACACUUACAAUGCCAUAUAACUUCACAGUGAUUUUUAUAUCAUCCUACACUUGGUUGAUGACAUCAAAAUGGAUGUCAUAUGGAUUUAUGACACAAUAUAGUUUAUAGUUUUAUGUCACAAUGUUUAUGAUAUCACAGGAGUUGCUUAUGACAUCCACUUCUUUAUGACAACACAAGGUUUUUUGGACAUAACACUGGUAGUUUGGGACCAGUGCUGCAGUGCAGCAAGUUAUUCCACUUCCUGCAGUUCUGACAUCCCAUAUGGGCACUGGUUUGAGUCCUGGAUGCUCCAGUUCCAAUCCAGGUCCCUGCUAUUGUGCAAGGAGAAUCAGUGGAUAAAGGCUGAAGUCCUUGGGCCCCUGCAACUAUGUGAGAGACCUGAAAGAAUUUCCUUGCUUCUGGCUUUAGCCUGGCAUAGACCCAGUUUUGUGGCCAUUUGGGGAGAGAACCAGUAGAUGGUGGAUUUCUCUUUCUCUGUCUCUCUAACUUUGCCUUUCAAAUAAAUAAGUAAAUAAAUAAACCUUUUCAAAUGGUAGGUUAUGACACACAAUUUUAUUUUGUAAUCACAAUUGAUUUUGACCUCUCAAUGGUUUUUGUGAUGUCACAAUUCAUUAUAACAUCAGAAUGGCUGUUUUAGGACAGCACAAUGGAGUUCUGUAUCACAGUUGAUCAUGAUAUCAGAAUGACUGAUUUAUGUUGACACAAUAGUGUGAUUCCAUAAUUUAUUAUGAUAGCACAAUGGUUAACUUAUGACAUUAUUAUGCUACUUUCAUGGCAUCAGAUUAUUGGUAUAGGACAUGAUUUUUUCAUAUAAUAAUUGAUUUUGCAUCAUAAUAGUGGUUUGUGAAUUCACAAUCAAUUAUGAUAUUAUAGUUGUGGUUUAUGAUCUCACAGAGGUUUUUAUGAGUUCACAAUUGAUUAUUACAUCGCAUAACAAUGCUGUUUUAUCCCAUCCCCAUAGAUUAUGACAUCCCAAGGCUUUUUACCAGAUCACAAUUAUUACAUGAUGAUAUAGGUCUAUAAAAGAACAGUGUCUUAUUAUAUCAUCACAAUAUUAUUUAAAAUGCAUUAUGGCAACACAAUAAUUGGUUUAUAACAUCAAAAUGUGUAUUAAUGACAUCACAACAUUGGAAUAUGAUUAUCACUAUGGCUUUUAUGAUCUCAUGAUGAUUAUAACUUCAUAGCAGUAGCUUAUACCAUCAGAGCUGAUUAUAACAUCACAAUGGUCAUUUAUGGCAUCACAACAAUGAGUUAUGGCAUCGCAAUUAAAUGUCACAAUUGUGAAUUUAUGACACUGCAAUGAAUUUAUGACUUGUUAAUUGAUUUUUUUAACUUUUAUUUAAUGAAUAUAAUUUCCAAAGUACGGCUUAUGGAUUACAAUGGCUUCCCCCCCAUAACAUCUCUCCCACCCGCAUCCCUCCCCUGAGGUAACAAUGGUUUUUAAGAUACCACAACUAGUAUGAUGUCACAAUGUGGUUCAUGACAUUACACUUCAUUAUGACUUCAUAAUGAUAGAUUUAAAAUGUCACAAUGUUUUUGUAAAUUCAGAAUGAAUUUUGACAUCAGAAUGAUAAGUUUAUGAUGGUGGUUUAUCAUAUCCCAGUUGAUUACAACAUCACACAGAAUUUAUGAUAUCACAAUAUUUAUGGAUUUACAAGUAAUUUAUGAUAUCACCAUUGAAUUUCUUAAUUUUUAAAAUGUUGUUCAAGGAAUAUAACAUCUUGCAUUUAAUAUAUACAGAUUUGGGAAUGUGAUGCUUCUUUCCUCCCAACAUCCCUCCCACCCAUACUUUCACAUUUCUUCCUCCUCCCGUUUCCUUUCCUAUUCUUAUUUUUACAGAGAUUAAUUUUAAGUUAAUUUUUACACUCAUAAGAUUAGCCCUACACUAAGUAGAGAGUUAAAUGAUUACUAUGAAGAAUAAAAGAAGUAAAGAACAAAAACAAACAAGAAAACAACAUUGUUCCACAACAGUCAAGGCAAGGGCUGUUCAAAAUCAAUACAUCUCAAAGUUUCAGUUUCACUCCUAUAGAUUACAUCUGAAGUACUCUAUUACUUACCAUAGAUCAGAGAGACAAUAUGGUAUGUGUCCUUUUCUGACUGGCUUAUUUCGUAAGUAAAAUGGUUUCCAUUUAUAUCUAUUUGGCUGCAAACAACAAGUUUUCAUUUCUAUUACCAGAGUGCAUUAUUCCAUAGGGUAUAUACCAUAAUUUGUUUUAUCUACAAUUGAUGGGGAUACACAUAACUAUUCAGAAUUAUGGUUUCACUUCCCAUGGAUAAAUAUCCAGGGCUGAGAUGGCUGGGUCAUAUGGUAGCACUAUAUUCAGCUUUCUGAGAUAUCUCCAUACUGUAGUCCACAGUGGCUUUAACACUUUACAUUCCUACUAAUAGUGGAUUAAGGUACCCUUCUCCCCACAUCCUUGCCAGCAUUUGUUGCUUGUUGAUUUCUGUAUGUAAGCCAUUCUAACAGAGGUGAGGUGAAACCUCAUUGUGCUUUUGAUUCACAUUUCCCUGAAGCCUAGUGAUACUGAGCAUUUUUCUGUGUGUCUAUAGGACAUUUAAAUUUCCUCUCUUGAACAAUAUAUGUUCAGGUCCUUUGCCAUUUUCUUAUUUGGAUUUUUUUGUAGUUGUAGAGUUUCUCGUGCUCUUUAUAGAAUAUGGAAGUUAAUCCUUGGUCAGUUGCAUUGUUUUUAAAUAUUUUCUCCCAUUCUGUUGGUUACCUUUUCUAGAAGACUUCUAAGAAUUAUUUCCCUAUGUCAGUGUUUUGUAUGGCUUCCCCGAUUUUCUCUAUUUAGGUCUCUGGUUCAUUUUGAGUGGAUUUUUUGCAUAAGGUGUAAGGCAGCAGUCUUACUUCAUACUUCUCCAUGUAGAGAACCAAUUUUCCCA